CUAUGACCCUCAUAAUAGGCGUAAGAGCCGCCUUUCCAGAAAUUCGACAACUCAAAUUCUGCGCAUAACCCGAGAUGAGCUCUUGGAAAGUGGUUCUUACCGUUGCCUCAAAGCUUAUGUUCAAAAACAGUCGGAUCAACAGCACAAAAAUGCCAACUUAAACGAAUCACAUUCGCAAGUUUUAGUGGAAAUCAAGAAUGCCAAAAAAAGUAUUGAAGAUAUCACUAGAUCAGGAAAACAAGCUUUGCAAGAGGAGACAAACACGAUCUCAGAGAUCGUGGACGAUAUUCAAGGAGAGCUCUCGUGUAACGCGGCGCGAAUGAGCUUAGCAGAGCGAUGGGAAGAUGCUCGAGAGCAGCAGAAUAUGUUCAAGUGUCAAAUGGAAGAGGCAAAAAUCGAGACGAAAGUUCAGGAAGCGGUCGCUGCCAUCGAUUCUGAACAUCGAGUUGACGCCGAGAUAGAAAACUACCUCCAUCUUGCUAUUGCGAAACUGAAAGAUGAGAUUGAAAAUUGGACGAAGCGGUAUGAUGAGGAAAUCGCCGAGCGUGAGGCUGAAUUGGCAUCCUUGAUGGAAACAAGGAACGCAGCAUUGGAGAAACUAGAGCGGUUAAAUUCAGAGUUUACGGGGCGGCAGAAGGAAAUAGAAGACUACUUGGCAACGAAAGAGGAUCUCAGGCGGUCUAAGGAGAGAGAAGAAUAUUUGAACAAGAUGGCGACGAAAAUUCAAGCUUGGUGGCGGGGCACAAUGGUACGAAGACAUUUAGGGCCUUACAAGUAUUUCAGUAAAAUAGCACGUCCUCCAAAAAAAGGGAAGGGGAAGAAAAAGUAA
rnacentral:lncRNA from 1 species